UUCCUGAGCUAAAGCAAUUGAUCUAGUUCCCAUCAAGUUCCAGAAUUCUCCCAGUGUGACAUGUAUUACAUAAGGUUCCAAAUGACCCUAAAGCCUCUAAUCUACAGACCUCACAUGAGUCCAGGUAUCCAAGCCACUUCUGGCCUACCUAAGUCUAGGGCCAGCAAAGGGAAGGACAGGUAGAGGAUCCAGCUGACGCGUGAAGACACAUUGGACUUGUCUCAUGGUUGUAACCAUGAAGAAACAUGAAAAGCCCUUAGCACAGUGCCUAGCAUAUCAAAAACAUCACAUGGGUGAUCACAAAGGGAAACGUCUGGAGUCAUGAAGGGUGAGGCAGAGGGAGCUGUGAAUGGGCAAGGUUUGCAAUAAACAGAGCUGAGGCUACACAGGUAAACGCAGAGGGCUGAGGAUAUAAUGCAGCUUCCUAAGCGGUUUCCAGAUGGGUAACUAGGAAGUGGAUCCUUUGCUACCCUAGUUCUCCUAGCAUUUGGACCAUACUGUGGUCUGCAUAUCAAACAUUCCAGAAAAUUCCAAUGGAACUCAUGAAAACACUCUCGAAAGCUGUUUUUGCUAAAAAAAAUCAUUGACUUCCCACUUGUGCCCAGGAGGUAGCUAAGGGUGGGGAAAAUGCUGGGCAUUGAUCUCUGCCUUCCUGGUGUCUGUCUCCUGACUGUGGCUGAAGGCACAGAGCUACGUCAUUGCCAACCUUUCCCCUUGAGUCUCCUAGAUUCCUGGAAUAACAAAACCUCCCGGGACAGAACCCCUGGCAGAUGAGGGCAAUUAUCCACGAGGGCCAGGCUGCACCUGCCUCAGAAGCAAGCAUCUUGUAGAAACCGGAUUGAUCCCCUCAAGCGACAUUCAUGACAGCAGCAUACCUGUGACAUGAUCUUUGCAUGCCACCAUUGCCUUCAGCACCUGCUCGGAUCCCUCUGCCAACCCCCCAGCCCCUGCUCUCAACCCAGGCCAGCUUCUGGUCCACCUGAUCCUGCCCCUCCUGCCCCAGCUUCCCCUCCCAAACCCGCUGGGUAGACCACGCUGUGUAGCCCCAGUUACCAUGUGUUGCAGUCUUGAGAGAGGGAGGUGCCAGGAGGGUACCGCUUCCCAGCAUGCACACAAGAACAUUCGGAGCUCUGCACACAGCGGCCUUCAUCCAGGAGCUCUCCCUCUGGGUUCAAGGGCAUCAAGGCAAAGAUCUCAGCACUGUCAUCACCAUUAUUCAUCCCCCACUUCUAGAACCCCAUGGGUAAUCAAAAGCUUAGUGCUUCUGAAAAACUACAACGUACUACGAUGUUUAUCCCUGAUGGACUAUGAGGAUGGGAGAUAUCAACCUCCAUUCUACAGAAGCAAGAAUGGGCCAAAGAGCUUGCUGGGGUUGUCCAGUGGAGAAGCCAGUGAGCCCGGCCUUCUUCUGGGAAUCUCAAAGAACUUGCAUGAUGCAAUGUGCAUGAGUGUGCUGGGUCAUUUCUCUCUCAUUGCCUACAGGAUUUCGUGGCGUCAACAGUUUUGUUCCACAGCAUCCAGUAGAGAAGUCGUGAGCCUCAGGACUUCCUACUCUGCAUAGCUGAAUACAGCUUGCGACCGUCACUCACAGUCUCCUGGCCAGAGACUUUCUAACGCAAGUCCUUCUCAGGGGAGCGCACAAGGCAAACCCAGGACACAGAAGACCUUUCUCCCAGACUGGAGUCCUGAACCCUAACUGGGAAAACAAAACCACAGCUCAGAUCAGGCCAGGAGCUCCCUGAACAAAGUCACUGUGAGGGCUAAGACCACCCUCAUUUCCCUAGACACAGAGCUUUGUGAAUACAGUACCACGGGAAAACAUAAAUUCAAAAUAAAGACCAGUUUAACCCUGAGCUUUUUGCACAGAGACUUUAAAAACAGCUAAAUAAAAGAUCUCUGAUUACAGCCAUGGGGGCCAAACACAAGUG